GACGAACGCUGGCGGCGUGCUUAACACAUGCCAGUCGAACGGAAAGGCCCUGCUUUUGUGGGGUGCUCGAGUGGCGAACGGGUGAGUAACACGUGAGUAACCUGCCCUUGACUUUGGGAUAACUUCAGGAAACUGGGGCUAAUACCGGAUAGGAGCUCCUGCUGCAUGGUGGGGGUUGGAAAGUUUCGGCGGUUGGGGAUGGACUCGCGGCUUAUCAGCUUGUUGGUGGGGUAGUGGCUUACCAAGGCUUUGACGGGUAGCCGGCCUGAGAGGGUGACCGGCGACAUUGGGACUGAGGUACGGCCCAGACUCCAACGGGAGGCAGCAGUGGGGAAUAUUGCACAGUGGGCGGAAGCCUGAUGCAGAAACGCCGCGUGCGGGAUGACGGCCUUCGGGUUGUGAACCGCUUUCGCCUGUGACGAAGCGUGAGUGACGGUAAUGGGUAAAGAAGCACCGGCUAACUACGUG
rnacentral:rRNA from 1 species